ACCUUACUAAUAGUAAUAUUAUCACUUUACAAAACAUAGUAAUAUUAUGUUUUGUAAAGUGAUAAUAUUUAUAAUUUAAGUUAUAUUAUAAAUAUUGUAACUUAAAUUUUAAUUUGUAGCAUAAGGUUUUAUAUGAAAAAUACUUAAAUAAUUUAUAUUGCGUAUUGUUUGCAAAUAAAAGUAAUUAAUAAUAAAAAUGAUAAACUGCCCAGUUAACCACAACAACUGGGUCCCAGCUGGGAUGUAACUUGAUUAUUGGAACUGAGUUAUAGCUGGCAUUUAAACUGGUUAAAAGAUGGGUCCCGUAUAGUACAAUGAUUGCAGCAAAAAUUAUGCCUGAAAAUAUGAUAAAAUCUUUUAAAAUGGCAUAUACAGUAAUGCAGAUUGAUUUGGAUUAAAUAUAAACUUGCAUUUGGAGUGAACAGGAACUUAAUUUGGUUCAUAUUUAGUAUUUUUGCAAAAAAAUAAUUAUUUACAUAUCAGUUUUAAUUCAAAAAAAAGUGGCAUACUUUUAAACUUCUUAAAUGCUCUAAAUUUCAUAGCCAUUGAUAAGUUUGAGAAUCAAUGUUUACUUUUUUACAGACUUGUUUAAGGUUUUAUCAAACCGAAGGCAUAUUAUUUAUUUUUUAUGCUAUAGACAAAUGUUGAAAUUUUUUCAAAUUAGUUUAUAUGGUUUGGUGUGCCUACAGUUAUGGCUUAGUCACUAAGUUACAAAAACGAAAUACACUAAGUUAGUGUGUUUUGUUUUAAUUUUUCUUUUUCAAGCAAAUCUCAAUGUCACUUAACAAAAUAUGGUAAGGUUUUACUAAGUAACACUGCCAUAUCUAAACUUUACAUAUUUAUAAAUACAUAAAUGUUUGACUUUUUCUAUAAGUUAUAUAAUUAAUAAUAUAUUACUUAUAUUAUAAAUACUGUAACUGAUAUUAUAAGCUAUAAUAUAAGGUUUUAUAUGAAAAAAUGUUUAAAUUAUUUUUAUUGUAAAUUAUUUGUAAAUAAUAACAAGUAAUGACAAAAAUUAUUUGGUGUUUUAACGUUUAACUUUAUUUGUCUGUACUAAUAAAAUAAUUAUCACAUUUUGUUUGAACAUAUUUAUUUAUUAAAUACAUUUUUAAAAUUCUAUAAAAUAUAAAAGUGUAUAUAUUUUGAUAGCAAUAUUCAGACAUGUGUUUAAGAAACAAUUUGGCUGUUCUAAAAGAGGGAAAUGUUGAGUUUUAAGGUUUGAGGAUGUUUUUUAAUUAAUUUUCACAGGACGUUAUAUAAUUUUUUUAGAAUAAAAUCAUGAAAUGCUACUCAAGUGCAAUAUAAAAUUGAAAAUAUAGUUUUGAUACAAAAUAUUGCAAAAACUGAAUGUUUGAAUAAUCAUAAAUGUUUUGUAUUUUUCACUUGCUAUAAGUUAGUUUGUUUAUGAUUAACAACAGAAAAUACAUUACUUCAACAAAUUUUAGUUUUUUACACAUAAAAGCUAUGAAAAAUCUCCUAUGAAAUGAUUUAUCUAAAUCUAAUUUCCUGCAAGAUGCCUGUUAAAAAGAAAAACUGAAGAAACUUUAAAACUAGAAGAUGGCAACUGAAGAAGCCUUUACUUCAAUCUGGCUAUUGUUAUAACACAUAUAUCGAUUUAUAUACUGUAUUGAGUUAGCUUGUGAUUUGUAUGUGUGUUUUUGUUUGCCUAGUGUUUGUUAGUUAUAUGCAAGAUAUGGCAUGGUAUGGCACACUGCAUGUGAAAAAGUGGAUGAAAGCACUAAAGAAGCGUAACGAUAAACUUUAUGGCGGCGAUAUGAGAGAACUGAUGUGGCAGUAUAUUACUAUAGUAGAACAGUUUUGCAUCAAAUCAUUGUAUAAUAUUAGUUUUUUGUUGCUUAAAGUAUUAUGAAAUUCAA
rnacentral:lncRNA from 1 species